rnacentral:lncRNA from 1 species
UCACUUUUUAAAAUAUAUUUUUAAAUUUAAAAAACUUUAUUUUUUAAUUUAUCUAUUCAUCUAACUUUUUGUUAUAUUAUUAAAAUGAGUUUUUAUCAAGAGAAACUAGAUAAAGUUACGAGGCAAAUUUUAUCAGACAAAUACAUUCUUCUGUCUUGAUAAAGAAUUUUAAGCGAAUUGUAAGUGUUUUGAUGAAAUGUUAACGUGGUUUAUGGAACGGCCCUGUAAAACUUUCCUUCAUAGCGUGAAUAUUUAUGUCCGGAGAGCUAGAAGUACCGCUAUUGUUGCCAGCCGGUAUAAGUCCAAGCGGAAUGGAAGCGGAAAUAUGCUUUUGUUUGAACAAGGAUAUUGACUUUUUUGCAAGGCGGUAGGAAGAAAAGUCCGACUCAGCGCGUUCGCAUAAAAUCGCUGAUAUUUAUACCCGCGUUUGAUCAACUCACGUGACGUAAAUUUACAUGACUUUCCGCGUUUAUCCGUGACCGUUUCUUCAUACGCAAUGGACACACGAGGAAUCAUAAUAAUUCUGUUGCGUAAUGGUUCGAGAACUUUAUACUUUUAUGAGCUUCUUUUCUUUCUUUCCUUAAUUUGCAGCAUUACGUUUAAUUAUUUUAAUUAUUGUUAAUUAUUUUAUUCUCUGAAUUUCGCAAUUUCACAAAAAAGACGUAAUUCGAAUCGAGAAUGCCUACCAUGGCGAACAAUAAACGGUAUACUUCUACCUUCCAUUUACUCGUCUGGCUAAUGUAAGACGAGUAUCCAACACUAUCGUUCGCGUUCGUCGAGAGGACAGAAGCGUCGAUUUUAUCUCCGAGUGCAAGCGCGGUCUAAUGUAGCUAUAAAGCAGACAGGACGUUGACUACCAAGCUAUGUGGCAAUUUCCUCGUUGCAAGUAAUGAUUUCAGAAACGGGAUAGGUCCUCGCGAUCGCGUUAAUUUGCAGCUGAAUAGGCAUUUACGGCGCAACGGCGUCGGCGAAAGGCUCUAUCCUCGAUCGAGAUUAACCGACGUCCAAAGGUUAACGGGACGGCUAAUCCACCGGAAAUCUGUAAGAUUGUGAGCCAAGGGAGGGUGGACUUUUAAUAAAUUAUAACUCCGUGCUGUGGAUUUAGCAACGCACGGAGGCUUCAAUACUCGAGUGAUAUUCCAGUAAAUGACGCACUUCCCCUUUCGUAACUGCGGGCAUGAUUGCAGAAGAUCAAGAGAGGCCGAGGGAGGAGGACAGUAGAGAAAAGAUUAGACAUCACGAUGAGAGAGGUACGUUAUAAAAUCACCGCAUUGCGUAACGAAACACGUACGUGCGCUUGAACAAAGCGAACAAACCGCUCAACUUGCCCGGCUGUUUCGCUUCUGCUGCGCGCUGUAAAGAGCGACGAAAGUUCGCGACGGCGACAACGGCGACGAUAAUAACGUUUGUUCAACAAGUGGUUGCAAACGAUAAUGCAAACGAUCGAUGCUGCUGGCAGUAGCUAUUUUCCGAUCGAGAUGAGAACGAGCGAAACGGCCGCGGAAAAAGAAUGCAAAUCUUUUGCGGCGACUCAACAAGUGGCUACUCAAUUUUCAAAGUCAUUCUCACGAUCGAGCAGGUGAUAAUUGCACUCCUGACAUCCGGACCUUACUGCGACUGGCAAGAAACUGACAAGAAACUGAAUAUCCGCUUGCCGAGGAGCCUCUUUGUUUUUUUGCGCGAUGCUGUAGCGUUAUCACGGUUCAAGUUGUAAAACUCGGAAACCGAUUCCAAGUUUCUGCGGUAUCGAUUCUAUUUUGGUCCCAUCUUUCCAAAAUAGCAAGAAACGUGGCUCCAAUCUGGGAAUAAUUUCAACAAUAUUUAACAAUAAGUUUUACAAAUUUCUUAAUUAUGGCCAGAGUGUAAAUGUGGAUUUUCGAAUAAAAUUGAAAAAUUUUACAAAAA